GCAAGUCUGGUGCCAGCAGCCGCGGUAAUUCCAGCUCCAAUAGCGUAUAUUAAAGUUGUUGCAGUUAAAAAGCUCGUAGUUGAAUUUCGGGAUCAAUAUUUCGGUCAUGCCGUUGGUAUGCACUGUUAUCAUUGAUUUCUCACCUUCUAAAGAACCAUAAUGCCAUUAAUUUGGUGUUACGGGGAAUUAGGACUGUUGCCUUGAAAAAAUUAGAGUGUUUAAAGCAGGCUCACGCUUGAAUACAUUAGCAUGGAAUAAUGAAAUAGGACAUCCGAUUCUAUUUUGUUGGUUUCUAGGAUCGAUGUAAUGAUUAAUAGGGAUAGUUGGGGGCAUUAGUAUUCAAUUGUCAGAGGUGAAAUUCUUGGAUUUAUUGAAGACUAACUACUGCGAAAGCAUUUGCCAAGGAUGUUUUCAUUAAUCAAGAACGAAAGUUAGGGGAUCGAAGACGAUCAGAUACCGUCGUAGUCUUAACCAUAAACUAUGCCGACUAGGGAUCGGAUGAUGUUAAUUUUUUAAUGACUCAUUCGGCGCCUUACGGGAAAC
rnacentral:rRNA from 1 species